rnacentral:rRNA from 1 species
UACAGAGGGUGCGAGCGUUAAUCGGAAUUACUGGGCGUAAAGCGUGCGUAGGCGGUUGGCAAAGUCAGCUGUGAAAGCCCCGGGCUUAACCUGGGAAUGGCGGUUGAAACUAGUCGACUAGAAUCUGGCAGAGGGGGGUGGAAUUCCACGUGUAGCAGUGAAAUGCGUAGAGAUGUGGAGGAACACCGAUGGCGAAGGCAGCCCCCUGGGCUGAGAUUGACGCUCAGGCACGAAAGCGUGGGGAGCAAACAGG